CAAAGAAAUGAGACUGUUAUCAUCAACUCUUUAUCUAUAGUAUUGACAUUUCAAAUGGUGGAAUCACUUUCUCCCUGUUAGCUGGGUGAGGCUUGCAAAAUCAGUUUAGUGCCGGGAACGCACUUGGCCUUGGAAUGUGAGGGUAAAGCAUGCUUGUGAAGCCAUGUGCAUACUUUUGGGCUUGUAGCAGGAUUUAUUCUCCCCAAGCAUACCGGCUUAUUGCAUACUAACGGUUCCAUUUGCUGUCUGGUGGGGC
rnacentral:misc_RNA from 1 species